UUUUUUUUUUUCUGUAGAAAUGGGAAAAAUGGAAUAAAACAUGAAAACAAUAAAUCAGAAAUAAAUUAAAGGAGUUCCCUUGUGGUGUGGCAGGUUAAGGAUCCAGCACUGUCACGGCAGUGGCUCAGGUUGCUGCUGUGCUGUGGGUGGGUUUGAUCCCCAGCCCAGAAACUUCCACGUGCCAUGGGUGUGGCUCCCCCAAAAUGAACUGAAGUGGUACCUAUGGGGAAGGGAGGAUAAGAAGGGAGAAAAGAGAGGCAUCCCUGAAAACACAUUUUAUUAAAGAUUUGAUUUCGAAACCACUUACAUUUUCAAACACUUCUAAAUGAUUGAAUCGAAAUAAAAUCAAAUCAUAAAAUUUUGAAAACAGCUUUAAAUAAACUGCACCUGAAGUUGGUGGUAUGCACACACAGAAAAAAAUUACUAUAAUUGACUUUAAAUUUGGUAUUUUGACUGUACCUCCCUAGAGGAAUAUAUCCUAAUGCAAAAGAACACAUUCAGAAGUCUUGUUUUGAGAAGCAAUAUUGUUACUUUGAAACUAUCUCUUGUAUACUUGUAUGCUAGAAAUAAGUAGUAAUUACAUUGGUAUCAUUAGAGUCAAGAUUUCUAGCAGAACAGAGAACAGAUGCACGUGUAACACAAAAGAGGUUGAAAAACCCAGCGGUCCGGUAUGUGGAUUGGAAAUAGUACAAACCAAUGUUUUCUUCUCUUUAAAGAUACAUGCCAUCUGUAUUCCCCAGCUUCAUCUAGGAAACACGCCCAGAAGCAGGGACAGGUCAGAGCAAUGAGCACGCUUGGACCCGACGGUGUUCUCUAAACACAAUUCCCCCCUGGAAAGAAUCAGAGCUUUUCUGAAAAAUGACCAAGUCCGGUUUCCAGGCAAGAACUCCACAAGAUGAGCCUGGGGAACCUACCAGAAGUCGAAGAAGCUACCGACAGUGCCUGUGGCCGUGUCAAAGCGACACGGGGCUGAAGGAGGUAAUUGGAGCAUCAAAAAGAACAAGAUUGGUAUUGAUGGAAAGUAUUCAUAAUUUACAAGAACCAUUGAAAAACAGAAUAAAAGUCAUCAUCGUAGGUUGCCAAGAUAACGCAUUCCUCGGAAAAUUGAAGACAGAGAGAAGAAUCACAGUGAACCUUGCUCUUUUUGCAUAAAGCAUAUUCCAGGGUAACUACAAGGUCGAUGAAAAAGUUCUUUAUAGAAAUGUCAGGUUAUAAAUUCAGAAAGAAUCAUAAAAUUAUAAAGUCUUCAUUUUGCAACCACCAUUGAACAAGUGGCUCUAGUUAUGGCCAUUGAUGGAUGCCGCGUCCGUAGCCAGAAGUGGUCCAGAGCUAGUACUACAGAGGGAUCAGUCUGACAGUGCCAGAUCCACUCACAAUCUUGACUUAGGUAAGUGGCACAACCAGAGUUCAGGUGGCUCCUGGUUAUGACUACAGAGAAUGCAAAACACACACCGUCAAGCCAAAAUCCAACAAAGUCUCUGGAUCUAAGUACCACCUAUUGGAAAUCCAGGAAUUCCAGAAACAUUCUAAGCAACACAAAAAAAGACGUGAUAGGGCAAAUUGAAACAUUCUACAGGUCAAAUGACCUGAUACUUUGGCACCAAAUUUUAACCCCCGGCCCCCCAAAAGGGAGGAAGAACUCUUAGAGAUGAAAUGAGACUCAAGAGGGAAUCACGGAACAUGUAGGUGUCGGCUGAUCUGGAUUCAGGCAAAAGGUACAUAAAAAAGAUGCUUGGAGUCACGGAGGAUGUUUGGACGUGGUCAAGCGAACAGUUGGCUGAGGUCACUCUCAGCAAAUGGCAGAGCCGGGACUCGAAUCUGGGACAUGGAUGUCCUAGCUGUUUACACAACCCCAUGACUCCUCCUUGGGUACGAUGUGAAUUUAGUAUAAAAAGUCUGCCGAAGAAGCCAGCAUCUCACGAGACCUGACAGAGGGGCUCUCAACAGAGCUUGAUGAGUGAAUGAAUGAAUGAACGGGCAGUCAAGCCCGAGCCUGACGGGAGGGCUCAUUGCCCUGAGACAGGUCCCCACUCUCAGAGGACCCGCCCCACCGGGUCCAUCCAACCCAGCUGGACCCAGACCCUGGAACAUCAGCCACGGACACAGAGCUGGCUUUUCUUCUGAAAACAGAGGGAUUGUCCUAGUGAGAGAGGAAGCACAGACCUCAUUUCCAAGGUUAAUUAGAAAGUGGGGCUCUCAGUGGCCGGGGGUGUCUCCGGGUUUCUCACGAAGCAGCUGAUUCUACUCUGUGUCUGCGUGCGGGAUCCCCAGCCAGAUGCUGACUGCGGGAGAGCAGGUACCCGAAGGUUUGGGGCCCAGAGUCACUUCCCCCACCAAGCACGGCCUCGUUUUGUCACCAGAUGCUGGGGUGAGUGGGGAGAGGAGAGCACCGUGUGUGGAUACACACAGCGUCACUGCCUGAUGUGGAGUGAGAAUACAGCUAAGAUCUCUGAAUUCAGCCAGUCCGGGAGCAGGGUAUAACUGGCAGGCAUUGGCCAAAAGGGACAGUUUUCCUUCCUGGAAGCAAACACUUCCUAUUCCACCAGAGGGAAAGGACAGACCAGCCUCUGCCCAGUGGGAAUUUGAGAUCUGGUGAGGAUUCUCCUGAAAUGCAGGCAGGCUCCUGAACUCUUUGCAAGGCUCCUAUAGCUGAAGACAUUGGGGGCAGAGGGCUGCUGUUGGAGACAGGCCACGGGGAGAUGGUGCUGAGAUCCCACUGUCUUGCUGGGUCUCUGAGGUCCAUUUCUGCAGUUCCCUGGCCCAGACAAUGGCCCGUCUGGACCCCGCCCCGAGCCUGCUCCAAGGACCUGGCCUGGAGGAAGAUCUGGACCCCGUCUUGCAGUGAGCAUGACUGUGACUGGGGUUUCGUGUGUGAUGAGGGGACUCCACAGAGGACAAACUCAGCCCAAGACUAUCCCCUGGGUCAAGAAGGAUGCUGAGGCUUUCAGGCUCAUCUCCCAGACCCUCCGUGGCUCCAGGGUGGCAGCCAGCAGCCAGCCUGCACUGGGUGAUGGGAAGAGGAGUGGACAGCCCCACUGUCUCCCCACAAUGGGAAGGACGUGACAUGCCUGCAUCCCUGUGCCCCUGGAGCGUGCAGAAGGCUGAGUGUCCCAGGAGGAGACACGUGGCCAGAGGGCUCUGACCCCCGCCUGCCCGCCUGCCAGGCCACCUGCGGGUCCAGCUCUGAGCGUCUUCUGGAGACCCUGCCAGUCCACUGAUCCAUGGAUGCCACUCACACCCCUUCUCCACCGCAGCCCCUGGGGCCUGUCCUGGCAGCGGCUCCACCCAGGUGGCCCCUGCUCACCGAGCCUGCCCUACCCCUGGCUUGUCAGGGCGAAUCUGCUUCUUCUUCCAAGCCCCACUGUCCCCAUGGGGUUCCACUUGGUGCUGGGAUAAGACCCCCAGGACCUGUCAUUUCAAUUCCGUGGAUGGUGACUUAGGUCCAGUACUGUCCCAGGCGCUGGUGGAAUAAAGGUGGGCCACUCGUCCAUGGGGAAAAGUGCAGGAGUGGGGCGACCUUCGUCCAGGGGUGCAAGGUCAGGGCAGGGCUUGGCCAGUGCCCUCUGGGAAGGUCAGGAAAGGCUCCUGGAGGAGGCUGGGUUUCCAUGGGAUUGUCAAGCGCAAGAGGUAGGAGCCACCAAGGGAAUGAGAAAGGACUUCUGUCUCAGAGUCCUGGGUUCAAAUCCCAACAGGAGCUGUUCCGAAGGGCCGACUCCCACAGGCCCUGUGAUGGGCUCCCUCAGCCAUAGAAUCAGGGAGGGUGUGCCAGCCUUUAAAACGAGCAUGGCCCCAAGUGCCCGGGGAGUGCCAGCUGCCCAGGGGAGGGGAUGACCAACGACUUUAAUCCAUCGCAAGGGCCACACGACUUAAGCACGGAUGACGAGAAGAGGGAGAAGCGGGCACUCUUUUUUUUUUUUUUUGGUGGGAACACGAACUGGAUCAUGGGCCAUGGGUCACGCGUGACGGCCCGCGCCGAGGGUCCUGCGGAAACACAGAGGCACAGGGGCUCGGGGAAGAAUGCCCAGCGUGUCCGUGCCACCGCUGUGGCUACAGAAAACGCUGAAACAAGGGGAAGGGAUGAUGGAAUUGUCUGAGCGAGGAGGUGGAAAGGGGUCGGUACCCAGCGAGCUGUGGGCACGUCUGCCCGCAGCUUCGAGGGUAAAGGGUUUUGCUGUGACAACACUUCAGUGGAAAACGUGUGUGUGUGUUCGCCUGUGAUGGAGAAUGAGCCCAUGUCGACCUGGUGACAGUGGCGGCUUCCAGGCACGUGCACGAGGAGGCUGUGAACGGCUGUGUUUCCUGGAUGGUUUCACAUCAGCUGUGACUCCUUUUACAAUUAAAAAAAACAAACAAACUAGAAAAAACACACCUUCCGAGUUAAGGUAAACACUGUCUGCUGGUUCAGAUAACGAGCAGCUUGUCUCUAUCUAAUGUGCUUAAAAUGGGAACGGCUUGAGAAAUGCGGGCACGGCGAGGGCACGUUCCCGGCACGGGGCCCGACCGCGGAAGCCAUUCUUCACACAGGAACCUGCUGGGUCCUCAGAGCCCCUCUGGGAGGCGUGUGGGGUCAGAAGCCCCACUUUCAAAGUGGGAAAACUGGGAAUUCCCGUGGUGGCUCAGGGGGUUAAGAACCUACGAGUAUCCCCAAGGAUGUGGGUUUGAUCCCUGGCCUCACUUGGUGCAUUAAGGAUCUAGCGUUGCCACAAGCUGUGGCGUAGGUCACAGAUGUGGUUCAGAUCCUGCGUUGCUGGGGCUGUGGUGCAGGCUGGCAGCUGCAGCUACAGCUACGAUUCGAUCCCGAGCCUGGGAACCUCCUACGCCGCGGGUGCUGCCAUGAAAAUAGAAAAGAAAAGGAAAAGGAAGAAAUAAACAAGGUGGGAAGACCGAAGCACAGAUGGCAGAGAACUUACCGGGUCCCCAAAGCUGGGAAGAGGCACAGCUGGGAUUCGAACACCAAGUUCCAAACCAUGUCCCCCGGGUGCUUCUGAAAGCACCCACUUCUCCCAGCUGCGCUCCCCCCCUCCAGGGCCCCAUCCCCCCACCCAGAGAAGAAGUCCCCUCCUGCCCAUCUCUCCUCUCCCUGCACCUGCUGCUAUAUCCCUGGAGGGGUCCCUUUCUGUCUCUGGGUUUAAAGCCCGUGAGAGGAGGAGCCAAAUCUGGCUAAACCCUCUUUAGCAAAACCUCAGGGACUUCAGCCUGCAGAGCUGCCCACGUAUCAGAGGGCAAGGCUCAGUCCUGAGGCCAGCUUCCUUGGUCCCCAGGCUGGAGACAGCCAGUGUCAGGAAGGGGCAGCCUCCAGGCCAGGCCCCAAGACACUGGCACCAGCCCUCAGUGGAAAUCUGCUCUGUGGGGCCCACGUGUGCCAGCUCAGCUUUGCAUCCAGAACCACCAAGACAGGCCUCAAAGGGACCCUGCUGAAUGGAUCCUCAGGCCUAGAGGUCCCCACUGGUGUUUCAAGACUUUUUAAUGAGUCUGAGUGAUGACAAGUUGAGUCACAGCCUCCGUGGAGCUGCGAGACCCCUUCCAAUUACUGUUUCCAGGAAAAAUUAAAACCCAGAUUGAAAUCUCCUUCCCCUUAUAAAUUAAAGCCCAAGGACGGGAGAGCCUGCCCUGCUUCCCUCCAGUUCCGAUUCCCAGGGACGCAGCCCCUCCGGUGACAGGUGGCAGCUGGCCCAGGGCUGCAUCCUCUGGAAGCACCGGGAGGUUCGGUCACCCCAACUCAGCCCUGGGUCAAGUCUCGGGGCAGUGGGAGAUCCCAGAGCCCAGGGCCCAGGGCGCCUAGAGCCCCUGCUGCCUGGGGGCCAGGACUUUGCCGGGCUCAGGCUGCUGAAGCCAGCAGGGCUGAGACCCCGGGACCCAGGUGGGAGUUAAGGUUGUUCUGCGGAGCCCUGCGCUCCCCCAGGUCUGGGGCCACCCAGUGUCCUGCAGGUAAUGACAUUACUUCACCCCUCGCCCCUCCCACCAGCCUCCUGCGUCGAGGCCCCUCCCUGUCCCCUUCCAUGGAGCUCACCCAGCAGGGACCUGAUGUACAUUGUCCCUUAGGGUGACUCGAGGUGAUGCUGGCCGGGCAGGUGACGCUGAGCCGGAGCCUGGAGCCCUCCUCCAAGCCCACCUCCCUCCUCGUCUUUCCUCCCCCUCCCUGUCCCCAUCCUCCUUCUCCUUGGACCCCGAUGCCCCUAGGACCCCAGCUCCGCGCACACAGCCUAUGGCGGUCACGGAGGCAAUGUGUGCUCGGGACCAGGACGGAGACUGGGGGGUCCAGGUCCCCGUGCAAACAGAACUUUCUCGGCCCAGAGGUGUUGGAAAACCUGUCCGCUCCUCUCCCCGCCUCUCCAGGGGAAGGGUGACCCAUCGGAACGUGAGAUUUUGGCCCGAGCCUUCCGCUCGCCCACUGGCCUCACCUGUCCAGGCAGCCUGGCCCUGACCCUCGGCCCUGGGCCUGGGGACCGCGCCCCAGACUGGGUCUAAUCUCCAUGCUGUCGUCCUGGUCCCAGAGAGGAGCGUGUGUUCGGUCCACGUGUCUUAAACAGGCCUCCGCAGGGCCUCACGGGAAGGAUUCCAGAGGCUAAAUUCCAGAAUCGAGGAGGACCCCAGGCCCAGCCGUCGACAAGGGGUUUCCUGGACACCUCUCGGGCCCUGGGACUUGGCCGCCCCAUCUGCGAGAUGAGGGUUUGGACCAGGGCCACCUGCAGCCCCAUCGGCUGAGAGGAGCCCCCAGGUGCCCUGACAGCUGGCGUUGAGCCUGUGCCCAUCCCUCUGGCAGCUCAGCCCCAGGAGGCAACUCGAUCCCUUAUUAACAGCUCUUGUCAAAGUGUCCGUCCUUCAGUCCAGCCCCGAAUCCACCUUCUUCCUCAUCACCCUGCCUGCCGGGCUGCACCAGAGUGGUGUCUCCUGGGAGAGGCCCCGAGAGGCUCUGGAGGACCUUUCCCAGCCCAGCACCCCGGCUGACCCGCAGGCUGCUGUCCCCAUCCUCAGCCCUGGCUGCUGUCUCCAGCCCGUGCCCUCAGGAGGGCACAGGGACGCCUGGGCACAGCUGUGACAGUGCAGACAGAGGGUGACCCUGCUCUUAGGCCGGAGUCGUGGGCAGGGGCGGGGGUGGGGACAGCCUGCGUGCAUCCCGCUCAAGCCCAGACGACUGGCAGGGCCCUCCCUCCUCCCACCCCUUCUGCUCCCACGCUUACGGUGGAACUUUUUUUUUUUUUAACCAGUGAGCAGGACUUCACACUUAACCUUGCUAAAUUCCAUCUUGUUCACUUCAGUCCAUUGUUCCAGCUUGUCUAGAGGCUUUUGUACCCGGAGUAUUUCUUCCAGCACAUUAGCCGUCCCUCUGAGCUUUGAUCUGCAAAUUUGACAAGCAGGCCUGUUCCGCCUCUAUCCCAGCCAUUGAUAGAAACAUCGGACGUGGCCGGGGCAAGGAUGGGGCACGCCACCGGAGGCCUCCCUCCGACUUCACAUUGAUCCAUUAAUCAAUACACUCGUGCACCGCCGUUCUGGCAGCUCCACCGCUACCUGACGGCAGCGGCCCGUCGCCUGGCCUGCGACAGAGCGGAGUCUUUGCCGUCUCCCCUGCAGCCCGUCUGGUCUGGCUGCGGCUGCCAGGCCCGAGUCUCAGGGCGGCGUCUUCCUACGAGGCCGUCUUUCCUGGGCUCCCUUCUACACGCUGUCCUGGUCACCCCCUAGGCUGGCGGGGCUCCCCCAGGCCAUGUCCCCUGGAACCCCGUUUUUUUCAGGGUGCAUAGAGUUAAUUUACAAUAUCGUGUUUGUUUCAGGUGCACAGCAAAGUGGUUCGGUUACACGUACUCUCGAGAUGUAGACACCGAUGGUCUUUAUUCCAUUCUUUUCCAUUCUAGGCUAUUACAAGAUAUCGAAUAUUGUUCCCUGUGCUACACAGUAAAUCCUUGUUGUUUGUCCAUUUUGUAUAUAGUGGCGUCCAUAUGCUAAUGCCAAAUUCCCAAUGCAGCCCUCCCUUUUCCCUUUUGGGAACCGUAAGUCUGUUUUCUUUUUCUCUUUUCUUUCCUUUGUUUUCUUUUUUUGCUUUUUUAGGGCUAUAUCCAUGGCACA
rnacentral:lncRNA from 1 species